GCUGCACACUAUUAAAGCUCAGGUGGAGGCAGUCUUGGCUAUGAACUUCUGAUGUCGGAAGUGUGCUAUAUCAUGGCAGGAUUUUCGCUAACACCAGUAGAGCUUGCCUCUAUGACUGGAGUUUGGUAGUACUCGCUUGCACAUAG
ensembl:snoRNA SNORA62 Small nucleolar RNA SNORA62/SNORA6 family